rnacentral:lncRNA from 1 species
UUCGUGUAUAACUAUCUUCUCUCUCCACACCUGACUCGGUGCUACGCUCUCCUCAGGACUGUUCUAUUCAAGCUGUAUGUCUUCAGACCUUCAGACCUUACCACUUCUCCUUCGUAGUCUGCCGAUCCGUCCUUGAUGAUUUGCCUCCUCUGGUUGCGGUUGCGUUGUCUUCUUCUUGUCCUGACCUAUUUAGAGUCUUCAACUAUAUAGUUAGGGUCAGUAAAAUAGCGACGUACCUUCUUAGGGGAAGUGCAUGUGGACUUCUCCGGUUCCAAUGUAGAUGAUUGCUUUAACGGUGUUGAGGAACGAUCUCUCAAGGACGAUGGGUGGAUCAUACUCGUCUUCUCCCAUGUCAAUAACCUUCAACCUUUCGAAAUGUCUGAUCUGCUAUCUAGAGCUGGGUCAUCCUUUUUGGUCAG